GUUAAUGAUUAUGGAAGGAACCUGGCCAAUUGGCUUUUCUUCCUUUCUCUUUCUUUUACUCAUCUUUUUAUACUAUUAUUUUUUUUUUAACUUUGGCUAGAAUGCCCAGUAGGAGUGCAGACUGGAAGAUUGGCUGUCUUUUGAACUGGAGACAUCACAGGAAACUGGGGAGGCUCCAAAUUGCUAACCUGAGGCCGGAGCAAAACUUUUUUUCGUUGAAGGGACUGCGUGUUUUUUUUGUUUUUUUUUUUUUUUUUCCUUCCUCCCCUUCAUCGAAUGGCAACCCAAGUCCUGAUGGAUUGCAACUGUCUUUGUUCCUGCAGCCAAGCCUUAUAUCUGGCUCACACUCUGCCAUGCUCAUAACCUCACACUAGAAAGGAGAUUACAAAGAGGGGCAAACACCCUAGAGGGCUCCCCUUUAUCAGAACCUUCCCUGUCAGUUGGGCUCCUCAUUUCCCGAGCCCUCAUGUGAUUAUUAGUGUACUGACGGAAUAAAAAUAACCUCAUAUUCCUACAUGAAUCAUAAAUAAAACCCUUUUAUUUCAUCAAAGAGGUUGGCAGGUUUAUAGUCCUUGCAAUGCAGGCACGAUGUGAAUGACAUACCUUUAAUUUUGCUGACAAGCUCAUUGGGGUUCGAAUGAAAAAAAAAAAAGAGUGAAAAGUGGGUGACUUCGGAAAUGGUUGUGGGGGAGCUUUUUGGUGAGGAUAAAUAUUUCACCUUGCCACUGUAAUCAAGGAACCAACUGAUCUUGGUAAUGAACUCUUCAAUUACAGCACACUUCUGACUCUUCAAAACUGCCUACGCCAACAAUACCACAGUGAUUAUUGUUGGUGUUACAGACAGAAGCAACAUGAAGAGCAAGAAAGAAGGGGGAGAGAAGGGAAAGAAAAGAAGUGGUGUGGUGGGAAAUGAAAGCCACUAAAAGUUAGCAAAACUGGGUCAUUAAAUUAGAAAAAGCUGUGGAGCUGGCAAUAGAAAAGCAUAUUUCCCCGCCCCCAUUCCUCUCCCUAUCCAAACUAUCUGCUGAUUCCACAAAAUGCUCCACUUUUUUUUAUUAUUAAUCUAGGCUUGAGCUCUCAAAAUCAGAGACCCCCAACAAUGAGAACCUCCAUAGUUUGCAUACCCACUUGCCUUUGAUUUCUCUGAAGUUUGCCAUAUAAUGUUGUGAAGUCCCUUCUUUUAAAGGACGUGAAGAGAAGCAUCCAUAGCAAUGUUCUUGGUGCUGACUUUCCUACAGAGCCUCAACAAAGCUUUGGAGAUCAGAGUUUUAAGUAGUACGGAAACAAGAUGGGGGAAAUGGAAGAUUUUUAAAGCUGAUUACUGGAAAAGGAAGGAGGCUUCACUUUAGGGUAACAUAAGACAAAGGACGAUGAUCACUCAAGUAGCCACUGGAGACCAAGGGACUCAUUCUUCUACAAAGCUCUUAGACUCAAACUCACGCAUCCAGUCAAUCCCCAAGUCCCCAGUUUAUUCUGAGGUGACUUGCUACUUCAUGGAUUCACUGGGGUUAAAAUUUUUGUGGUAACACAGAACUUAACCAUCUUAACAAUUUUUAAGUGUACAGUUCAGUGGUAUUAAGUACAUUUAUAAUUUGUACUAUCAUCACCACCAUCCAUCUCCAAAAUUCUUUUCAUCUUGUAAAACUGAAAUCCCCUGUCUAUUGAAUAAAAGCUUCCCAUUCCCUCUUCCUGCCAACCACUGGCAACCAUCAUUCUACUUUCUAUGCCUUUGAUUUUGGCUACUUUAAGAUCUCAUUUAAGAGUGGAAACAUGCUAAUUUGUCGUUUUUGUGACUAGCUUAUUUCACUUAGCAGGUCUGUAAAUAUCUUUCAUAUUGAAGCAUAUGUCAGAAUUCCCUUCCUUUUUUAAGACUGAACAAUAUUCAAUUACAUAUGCAUAAAACAUUUUGCUUAUCCUUUCUUCCAUUGAUGGACACUUUGAUUGCUUCCA